ensembl:ncRNA F16F9.11 ncRNA
CGCCUUUUCCCAAAUCACACUCUGAUUGGGGAGGAGAGAGCAUUCCAAUGGCACUGACCUACUUCAGAAGGAGAAAUGGAUAGAAGACAAAUUGUCCUUGCUUCCUUUCAUUUUGCUUAUCACUUCGCAUUGUAACUUGUUACG